GGCACCACCGGCGGACGGCUCAGUAACACGUCGGUAACCUACCCUCGGGAGGGGGAUAACCCCGGGAAACUGGGGCUAAUUCCCCAUAGGCCUGAGGUACUGGAAGGUCCUCAGGCCGAAAGGGACUUAUGUCCGCCCGAGGAUGGGCCGGCGGCCGAUUAGGUAGUUGGUGGGGUAAUGGCCCACCAAGCCGAAGAUCGGUACGGGCUGUGAGAGCAGGAGCCCGGAGAUGGACACUGAGACACGGGUCCAGGCCCUACGGGGCGCAGCAGGCGCGAAACCUCCGCAAUGCGGGAAACCGCGACGGGGGGACCCCGAGUGCCGUGGCAACGCCACGGCUUUUCCGGAGUGUAAAAAGCUCCGGGAAUAAGGGCUGGGCAAGGCCGGUGGCAGCCGCCGCGGUAAUACCGGCAGCCCGAGUGGGGGGCGCUAUUACUGGGCCUACAGCGUCCGUAGCCGGGCCCGUAAGUCCCUGGCGAAAUCCCACGGCUCACCCGUGGGGAUUGCUGGGGAUACUGCGUUGCUUGCGACAGGGAGAAGAGGGGGGUACC
rnacentral:rRNA from 1 species